CCCUUAGAUGUCCUGGGCUGCACGCGCGCUACACUGAUGUGUCCAGUAAGCACCUAACCUCUUCCGAAAGGAACGGGUAACCUUUGCAAAGCACAUCGUGAUGGGGAUAGAUUAUUGCAAUUAUUAGUCUUGAACGAGGAAUUCCUAGUAAGCACAAGUCAUCAGCUUGUGUUGAUUACGUCCCUGCCCUUUGUACACACCGCCCGUCGCUCCUACCGAUUGAAUGUUCCGGUGAGCUCUUCGGACUGCGCGGUCUGCAGUUUCUGCGUUCCGUGCGGAAAGUUGCGCAAAUCUUAACAUUUAGAGGAAGGAGAAGUCGUAACA
rnacentral:rRNA from 1 species